ACUGCUCAGUAACACGUGGAUAACCUGCCCUUGGGUCCGGCAUAACCCCGGGAAACUGGGGAUAAUUCCGGAUAACGCACAUAUGCUGGAAUGCUUUAUGCGUCAAAUGGAUUCGUCUGCCCAAGGAUGGGUCUGCGGCCUAUCAGGUAGUAGUGGGUGUAAUGUACCUACUAGCCGACGACGGGUACGGGUUGUGAGAGCAAGAGCCCGGAGAUGGAUUCUGAGACAUGAAUCCAGGCCCUACGGGGCGCAGCAGGCGCGAAAACUUUACAAUGCGGGAAACCGUGAUAAGGGGACACCGAGUGCCAGCAUCAUAUGCUGGCUGUCCGGGUGUGUAAAAUACAACUGUUAGCAAGGGCCGGGCAAGACCGGUGCCAGCCGCCGCGGUAACACCGGCGGCCCGAGUGGUGAUCGUGAUUAUUGGGUCUAAAGGGUCCGUAGCCGGUUUGGUCAGUCCUCCGGGAAAUCUGACGGCUUAACCGUUAGGCUUUCGGAGGAUACUGCCAGGCUUGGAACCGGGAGAGGUAAGAGGUACUACAGGGGUAGGAGUGAAAUCUUGUAAUCCCUGUGGGACCACCUGUGGCGAAGGCGUCUUACCAGAACGGGUUCGACGGUGAGGGACGAAAGCUGGGGGCACGAACCGGAUUAGAUACCCGGGUAGUCCCAGCCGUAAACGAUGCUCGCUAGGUGUCAGGCAUGGCGCGACCGUGUCUGGUGCCGCAGGGAAGCCGUGAAGCGAGCCACCUGGGAAGUACGGCCGCAAGGCUGAAACUUAAAGGAAUUGGCGGGGGAGCAC
rnacentral:rRNA from 1 species